CCCGUCACAUCAUUUGGAUGUGCAGCUUUGUCGAUAGACGCACCUUCUACCAUUAAGAAGAAUCCUUUAUCAUUCUUUUCAAGUUUACUUAAAGCGCUAUUUUC
rnacentral:sRNA from 1 species